rnacentral:rRNA from 1 species
CCUACGGGUGGCAGCAGUGAGGAAUAUUGGUCAAUGGGCGCGAGCCUGAACCAGCCAAGUAGCGUGCAGGAUGACUGCCCUACGGGUUGUAAACUUCUUUUAUAAAGGAAUAAAGUGAGGCACGUGUGCCUUUUUGUAUGUACUUUAUGAAUAAGGAUCGGCUAACUCCGUGCCAGCAGCCGCGGUAAUACGGAGGAUCCAAGCGUUAUCCGGAUUUAUUGGGUUUAAAGGGAGCGUAGAUGGUUUGUUAAGUCAGUUGUGAAAGUUUGCGGCUCAACCGUAAAAUUGCAAUUGAUACUGGCAGUCUUGAGUAUAGUUGAGGUAGGCGGAAUGCGUGGUGUAGCGGUGAAAUGCUUAGAUAUCACGAAGAACUCCGAUUGCGAAGGCAGCUUACUAAGCUGCCACUGACAUUGAUGCUCGAAAGUGUGGGUAGCAAACAGGAUUAGAUACCCUGGUAGUC